UCAGCUGUGCAAACGUGCAUCUCUCUGCCAUCUGCCUCUUCAUCUUGUCUCUUACAAGAUGAAGAUUAUAGAGAUAUGUACACAUGUGCAUGCACAUAUGCGUGUGCAAUGAUUCUAUACCAGGUGUUGUACAAAGCUAUUUUGGAAGGUGGCAAAAUUAGAUAGCUGAGUAAACAUGAGCUCGACUAAGACAUUUUUGUGGUGAGACAAAAUUUCAUGUUUGAUCUAAGUAGCUGCAAUUUAGACGCUCACACUCACUGCUCUGCAAGGUUUUUGGCUAAGGAUGGUAGAAGAAGUAUCUAAAGAAUCUGCUUAAGGGGUUAGAGCAAUAGGCAAACCAUCUAGUGUUAUGUGUCACAAUGAGAAAGCAGUCUUCAGAACGAGAACUAUAGCGUUCUGGUGCCUGCUCUUAUAUUCUGUAAUACUUCUGCUACCCUGUUUGGCUGACAAAAGUGAUACAUGCAUAUGUCUUCCCAAGUCUCUCCAAAUAUCUGUGUGUGUGUGUGUGUGAAUAUAUCACAUAUACAUACACACACACAUAUAUUGUGUGAAUAUAUUACAUAUAUAUGUAUACAUAUAUAUAUAUACAUAUAUAUAAUUCUGUGUCUACCCUAUGCAUACAUAUAUACUAUAUUAACAUUAUAUAUUACUGUGUGCUCCCAAUAUAUACAUAUAUAUUACAUGUAUAGAACAUACAUAUAUAAUUUACUGCCUUUUUCUUUCUCUUUUUCUCCCUGGCUUUACUGUCUCCAACAGAUAUGUAAACUUCAGUAGCAGAGAGGCAGAAAGUUUGGCAGAGACCAGUGAUUACUCCACUCAUCUGCCUACUUCUGUUCCAGAGUUUUUGGCAUCUUAGCUACAUUUACUCCCCCCUGCCCCCCGCUCCCGUUUCCUUGUCUUGCUCUGUGAAGUGCUCUGGCACAGCUUCUCUUCACAUGUGUGUUUUGCAUCAGAUCCAGUCACUCUCUGGCAAUCGUUAUUAUGGAACCAGAACCUUUGAUAAGGUCUGCCCUUGAUAAUUCCAUUGGCUCCAAAGCUUAUCCUAAUGUUUUCUCUACUAUGGCAGAGUCUAAGUGUUCAAAAUGUUUUCCAGGAGCAGCUAGAAUAUUUGCAGGUGAAUAAAAGAAUUUGUGAAAAAAGCAAGGUGUUUGUGAAUUGCAUGGUAUAAUAACUCUGGAAUCUUCUAGACCUCUAAGUUCUUACACAGAUACUUGCUUAGAGUGUGAACUUCAGGAUAUUGUGUAAGUUUUUUCAUGCUUUAGCUAAAUUAUUAUUUUUUUAAUAUUUUUUAAUCAGGAAUUUUCUUCAUUUACAUUUCCAAUGCUAUCCCAAAAGUCCCCCAUACCCUCCCUCCCCCACUCCCCUACCCACCCACUCCCACUUCUUGGCCUUGGCGUUCCCC
rnacentral:lncRNA from 1 species